AUGGCUCAGAGGUUAAGAGCAAUGGC
rnacentral:piRNA from 1 species